CCUACGGGCGGCUGCAGUGGGGAAUAUUGCACAAUGGGCGCAAGCCUGAUGCAGCCAUGCCGCGUGUGUGAAGAAGGCCUUCGGGUUGUAAAGCACUUUCAGCGGGGAGGAAGGCGUUAAGGUUAAUAACCUUGUCGAUUGACGUUACCCGCAGAAGAAGCACCGGCUAACUCCGGUGCCAGCAGCCGCGGUAAUACGGAGGGUGCAAGCGUUAAUCGGAAUUACUGGGCGUAAAGCGCACGCAGGCGGUCUGUCAAGUCGGAUGUGAAAUCCCCGGGCUCAACCUGGGAACUGCAUUCGAAACUGGCAGGCUAGAGUCUUGUAGAGGGGGGUAGAAUUCCAGGUGUAGCGGUGAAAUGCGUAGAGAUCUGGAGGAAUACCGGUGGCGAAGGCGGCCCCCUGGACAAAGACUGACGCUCAGGUGCGAAAGCGUGGGGAGCAAACAGGAUUAGAUACCCGUGUAGUC
rnacentral:rRNA from 1 species